GAAACGCUAGCGGCAGGCCUAACACAUGCAAGUCGAACGGUAACAGAGGGAGCUUGCUCCCUGCCGACGAGUGGCGCACGGGUGCGUAACGCGUAUACAAUCUACCUUUUACAGGAGGAUAGCCUUUAGAAAUGAAGAUUAAUACUCCAUGGUAAGUGACUGUGGCAUCACAGAUACUUUAAAGCUUCGGUGGUAAGAGAUGAGUAUGCGUUCUAUUAGCUAGUAGGUAUGGUAACGGCAUACCUAGGCAACGAUAGAUAGGGGCCCUGAGAGGGGGAUCCCCCACACUGGUACUGAGACACGGACCAGACUCCUACGGGAGGCAGCAGUGAGGAAUAUUGGACAAUGGAGGCAACUCUGAUCCAGCCAUGCCGCGUGCAGGAAGACUGCCCUAUGGGUUGUAAACUGCUUUUAUACAGGAAGAAACCGCUCUACGUGUAGAGCUCUGACGGUACUGUAAGAAUAAGGAUCGGCUAACUCCGUGC
rnacentral:rRNA from 1 species